AGUUUGAGGUGGGCCUGUUUGGCUAUUCCUAUAAAAUUAAGCUGAAGAUCCUAUAGGAUUCAUAGAUUGCACUGUCCAUUUAAGUAUGGCCUGUAUCAACCAAAUUCCACUUAGCUGAAAUUCCAAGGAAAGAAGGGAGAAAAAAUUAUGACUUCUAUAGUUGUUAUAAGGUGGCAAGGUAAGAAGACAAGCUUUUAUGUUCGCAGCGCAGUUUGAUUAGCAAGAAGACAAGCUAGAUCUGCUCUUCAACAUGUAGGAAUAAUAUCAUGAGUUGUGCUGCAGAGUUUCCUGUCCAUGCCUUGUGCCAGAAACUUUCAGUCUGUGCCAAACAUCACAGAGUUUGCACUCGGCAUCACUGAGUUCAUUCUCAGUUGCAGAGGAUGAAGUUUCCCAUAUUUAAUCUCUACCAAAAACUGCAGGCAUGCCCUCAUAAAGCGAAAUAUGAUGUCCCCAUCAAAUAAUUAGGAUCAUUUGAUUGCUGAAACUCUAUGUACUAUUGCCAACCCAAUAUGUA
rnacentral:lncRNA from 1 species